UAUUGGGCAAUGGGCGCAAGCCUGACCCAGCAACGCCGCGUGAAGGAAGAAGGCUUUCGGGUUGUAAACUUCUUUUGUCAGGGACGAAGCAAGUGACGGUACCUGACGAAUAAGCCACGGCUAACUACGUGCCAGCAGCCGCGGUAAUACGUAGGUGGCAAGCGUUAUCCGGAUUUACUGGGUGUAAAGGGCGUGUAGGCGGGGAAGCAAGUCAGAUGUGAAAACCACGGGCUCAACCUGUGGCCUGCAUUUGAAACUGUUUUUCUUGAGUGCUGGAGAGGCAAUCGGAAUUCCGUGUGUAGCGGUGAAAUGCGUAGAUAUACGGAGGAACACCAGUGGCGAAGGCGGAUUGCUGGACUGUUGACUGACACUGAGGCUCGAAAGUGUGGGUAUCAAACA
rnacentral:rRNA from 1 species